rnacentral:lncRNA from 1 species
GCUCCUCUGCGGUGGUGGGUCUUCUGAGUGAGGCGGCGUGUUCCCCAGGCAGGAGGUCGCUCCCCAGGCUCCAGCGCCCUGCCCCUCUGCAGUGGGGCCCUCGUGCUGGGAACCAUCCACCCUGCUCCGCACUGUGGGCGCAAGUCCCUUGACUCUGUGUGUCUGCCCUCCCGUCCGCAGCUGUGUUUGGGCGGGUGGUCUCCGAGACCUCCAGCUGCUCUGAGCGUGGGUCUUCAUGGGGCUGCCGGUGGAGCUCAAGUUUAAUCUAAUUUAGCAGACCCUGCUGGACAAUGAGGAAACAGUGUGAAAACCAGCUGAACCACCCCAAGAGACCCCCAUGCCUCUCCUGUUACAGCACUCGUUACUGAGGUUAGAGCCGCCUCCUCCAGCAGACACUGAGCUCUGUCUCUCUUGUGUCCCCAGCGUCACGCAGGGCACAUGUGUCUGGGGCAGGAGCUCGCCUUGUGGCUGGGCCAGGGACCUAAACCCGGGAACCUGGUCUAUGCAAUGAACUGCUCCUGUAAUAAACAGGAGCGCGUCCGUGCACGCGCUCUGCCCCAGGCCCCUCCUCCUUGUGCGGAUCUGAGCCGGCCCUGGUGGACUGAGGGCGUGUUUCCGCCUCCGCUGUGGGUCAGCCCUCAGCCUGUGCUCUGUCCUGUGACCUUGACCUGCUCUGAGCUGGGGCAACAUCACAGAGGAGACAUGGGCGACAAAGGACAGAAAGGCGGCGUGGGGCGCCACGGGAAGAUCGGCCCCAUUGGUUCCAAAGGUGAAAAAGGAGAUUCUGGUGACAUAGGACCCCCUGGCCCUAACGGAGAGCCAGGCAUCCCGUGCGAGUGCAGCCAGCUGAGGAAGGCCAUCGGGGAGAUGGACAACCAGGUCACCCAGCUCACAGCCGAGCUGAAGUUCAUAAAGAACGCUGUUGCUGGGGUGCGAGAGACGGAGCAGAAGAUGUACCUGCUGGUGAAGGAGGAGAAGCGCUACCUGGACGCGCAGCUGGCCUGCCAGGGCCGGGGCGGCACGCUGAGCAUGCCCAAGGACGAGGCCGCCAACGCGCUGCUGGCCGCCUACAUCACACAGGCCGGCCUGGCCCGCGUCUUCAUCGGCAUCAACGACCUGGAGAGGGAAGGCGCGUUCGUCUACGCGGACCGCUCGCCCAUGCAGACCUUCAGCAAGUGGCGCAGCGGGGAACCCAACAACGCCUACGACGAGGAGGACUGCGUGGAGCUGGUGGCCUCAGGGGGUUGGAACGACGUGGCCUGCCACCUCACCAUGCACUUCCUCUGCGAGUUCGACAAGGAGCACAUGUAG